UACAGAGGUCUCGAGCGUUAGGCGGAAUCACUGGGCUUAAAGCGUGUGUAGGCGGAUCGUUAAGUGCCUUGUGAAAUCCCACGGCUUAACCGUGGAACUGCUUGGCAUACUGGCGGUCUUGAGCAACCUAGGGGCGAGCGGAACAAAUGGUGGAGCCGGUGAAAUGCGUAGAUAUCAUUUGGAACGCCAUGGUGAAAACAGCUCGCUGGGGGUUUGCUGACGCUGAGACACGAAAGCCAGGGGAGCAAACGGG
rnacentral:rRNA from 1 species